CUCCUCGCCUCGAGGCUCCGCUCGCCGCCGCCUCCUCCUUCGCCUUCUUUUCAACUCCCCGCUCUUUCUUCAGCCCCCAAGGCUCGGCCCCAAGUUUCAGCCGAACGGCCGCUUCUCGCUCUGAGUCCAAUCGGUGCCUUGGAACCAAGAGCUCAGUCUUUGUGGUUCCCCACUCCUGUUAAUGCGACUGGAGGGCUGAAUCACUUGGGCCAACGUAAGGCAGCAGACGCUCGCGUUUUUCCAUCGGAUCCUCAACAGGAAUCCUCAUCGUUUUCUUCCAAAGCAUCCAUCUCCCCCUCACAUCCACGACGAGGUGAUCCCUUAAGAAUGCUGAUUUCCUCCAGCUAAUCUGCCCAAAGCCAAUAACACACAGGCAAUAACCAUGGAAGAGGAGACCCGUGGACAAGAAACAGAGCGAAAAAGUGCAAAGGCUCCUAGACAGGGAGCCCGGUGUCCUGGGUUCUAAACUGGACUCUCACCAACCAACGUUAUGAUUCUGAUCAAGCCACUACACUUCUCUGGGUCAGAUUGUCUGCAAAGCAAAAGAGUUGGACUAGAUUUUGAAGACUUCUUUUAGUUGGGAAGUCCUUUUUUCUCUAUUUUGUUACCCCAGUUAAAUUACCUGGACUUUUUCUAAGGGGUGUGGCUGGAGUUAGAACACUUCCCUUGCAAGCAACAGAAACCAAGGCUAGUUAAUUUAAGCGCAUAAGAUAUUUACUGUAUGAAUAUGAAGGCAGGUCAAGGAACUAAAGGGAAAGCAGAAUAUACAGGCUCAGAGAGGACAGGAGCCAGGGCAGGCCCUGGGAUUGAGGCAUCAGGAACUAAGAAAUAAUCUCCUCAGGAUACCACAGUCUCAGUAGAACGUGGAUCGUUCUCAAGAACAUUCAGUAUUGCAAUUCUGAUGUUCUCUUUCUAGCCUACCUUAGGUUUGUGGAACCACCAUGACUGUAUCUAAUAGGGAGGGAUUGUUCCCAAAGCCAAAGGAGGGGCUAUUACUAGAAACAGGUGGAAUGGAUACCAGGUAGAUGACCAUGAUAGAGUGAAGGACCGUAGUUGUCUCAGCACUAGACAUUGUAGCAUGAGGAGCCAAUGAAUGAUCCAGAGAAUUCAAAAUGAUUCUUGAGUCAGUUGCUCAUUCGGUUUCUCAGCAAGUACUUACUGAAUUUGUGAAUGGCAUUUUGGAGAACACCAAAGAAAUCUAUAUUAUAAAAAGCCAGUGGCCGUAACGCCGUAACAACCAAACGACCAGUCAACAGGAGGUGCACGGCAGGUCUCGGUCUCUCGGCGUGGUGGGAGUCAGUCUGGGUCCCCGCCAGAGCGGCGGGUCUGGGUCUCACGCGAUUUCAUGCGCUGGGCCUCUAGUAUAAUAAUGAUCUGUAAGACUGGUGGGAAAGGUGUUUGGAUUUUACUCAAGAUGACCUGGGAACAGAAUUAUAUUCCCUUUUAAUUUGAGUCAUUAAGAUAUAUCUGGGCAUAUGUAACUGCAGCUCAUUACAGGAGAUGUUAAGUAAUUCCCUAAUUAUAUGUAUUACA